rnacentral:tRNA from 2 species
AGCAGCUUGGCGCAGAGGUAGCGCGCUGGGCUCAUAACUCAGAGGUCCGUGGAUCGAAACCACGAGCUGCUA